rnacentral:piRNA from 1 species
UCCUUCUAAAUUUAUUGACAUUAAGAUUGG